rnacentral:lncRNA from 1 species
ACAUGGGCCGGUAUUUCCUGCCAGCACAAUUGCAUAUCUUUCCAUUGCUCCAUUCAGUCUCUGUCUUCGAAUAUGUGAAUGUUCUAGCCCUUCCCCAAAUUCUUUAUAGUCAUGCUAACGACCUGUUUUACAUGGAAUCAUUCAAUUUUGAUAUCGAAAGCUGUGUUUAUACAAAAUGAUCAAAUGAAAAAAAAUGUGAAAACAAAUGAUGAAUUUAAAAGCUUGCAAUAAAAAGUAAACUCAUAAAUUCAGAGUAUAUUUGAAUCAUAAUUAAAAUUGCAGCAUUUUUAUUGUCUAGAAUUAUAAAGAAUUUGGAGAUUGAGCUGCCUUAUUUCUAAUGAACAGUCCUGUUCACCUGUUAAGUCUUGACAGUUUUUCCAGUGGCUAUAAUUAUGAAAUUGGUGACCUUCGUCUUCUAUUAUCAAGGAAGCCUUAGAUUCACUAUGAUCCAAGGGAUUACUGAAAUUGACCCUUUUAUACAAUACGCAAAUAUCUUUCAGAAAAGACUCUUGUUUCUAAAAGUCCACAACGCAUGCGUUUUUCUAAAGCCCCAGUAGGACCAGGCGUAAAAAUACCUUUCUACUGGCACGUGUCAGGAGGCCUAUAUUUUGAAGACAAUAAUAGUUGAUUUCUAUUACCCUAUUUUCCUCCCAAGCCUCUCAAUCUCUAGGCUUUCAGAGCAUGCACCAGUUAAAUGAUUUUCCUGACCCAUGAAACCAAGUUCCACAUUCUCGAUUGUGAUACACACCUUGAACCGCGUCAUGACGUCCCACAUUCCCUCCCCUCCUGUUCACCAUGCAUAGUCCAUCGUGACCCUCUUCAGCUGUAACUGUCUAAGUUAUCUCACGUAUUUGACACAAUCGGAAAUACGGGCUCAGUCAGUUGUAAAGGUUAACAUGUGAUAUUGGCCUGUGAGGUUCUUUUGUCAUCUAGUGAAGCUUACAGAACUUUCAGUUAAGACAUUUGAAACAGCUGCAUCCAUUAGACACUUCAAUAAACAUAUAACCUGCCAUUACUGAAUACUUGGUUAGAGCACAGAAGAGCAUUUUCCAGCAAACGAAAUAUAUUUAUUACAUGUACAGCACAUAUUUGCAUGAGAAAGAAAACAUUAGCCAAAACAUUUUUCUAUAUGCUUUACUGGUUUCUUGUUUGUGCGCAUUAAAGUAUUUAAUUGCAAAGAGUGCACCAAGGUGAUAAAUUUAGACUAGACAGCUGUUCAGCUUUUUCUGUAGUAGCAUUAGCAAUCUGGUCAUUUAACUACUUUAAGAUACUUACAUUUUAUGGCAGGUAGCUGCAACAGCAUUUACAUAUAUUUCCUAGUCAGCAAGAUUACCAUAUUCUUUCCAUUUUUAAAGACCACUUGUUUUUAAAAUCCUCUCAAAGCCUUGUUUCUAAGUCUUCCAUGUCAUGCUGAUAAAGAGAGAGGUCCAUUCAAUAUCUGUGCACAAAACCAAUCUGUCGUUUGCCAUCAAGUGUCCGUACCUGUUCUGCUUUGCAUUCUUAUUCAAAAGCUAACAAUCGUGGAAAGGGUAAAAUAUAUAUUUUCUUGAUGGAUAUAUUUAAAAUUUUACGUUGACUUGGCAUAUUCUUUUCCAUUCCUUUUGUAAAAAGUUUAUCUUCUCCAAGUAAAUAAGAGGUAUACAUUUUCCUUUUUUUAGUGUUAGAGUUUACUGUGUAAAUGAUGCUAAAAUACAGAUAUAUACGAAAUGAAAGUUUUAUUUUUGCCAAGCAUAUCAAGCAACUUUGAAAAAUACAUAUUCCACAGACACUUUGUUUUUAACUGAUUUCUUUUCAAAAUAGCAAAUGAUAAGCAGAAGAAACAAGUCUUACAAUGUGUUGAGGCUGUUUUACCUUGUAGAAGUCACAUAUUCCGUAACUUCAGUGUAUGUAAUAUCAGAAUAUGUAAGCUACAUAUUCUGUGAUUUCAGUCUGCGAACAUGUAACACUGUAGACUCAUGUGACAAUGUGAAAAUGUAGUUCUGGGGGAAAAAACAAUGAAUGCAGUUUGUCAGUCCUGAUGCUAAUUCUCAAGGCUAUAAUGUGACUCCAGUAUUAUAAUCAAUGAUGUUAUCUUGUUUACUCCAAUAUUUAAAGCAACACUUGGAAAUGUUUAUAAAUGACUGAUGAUUCUCUCUUAUCUUUAUACAGUUCUAUUGGAAAGCAUAUUGAAAUUAACAAUUUGGACUGAUAGCCUUUCCUAAUAAGAGAGUCUUAAUUACGUGACAAUAUGUCAUUGCACUUAGUCCUUAAUGAAGUGAAUUUUUUAAAUAUAAAACAAAUUCUAAGAAAAUUAUUUGUUCCCUUUGAAUAAUUUGUUAAUUACUUUAAUUAUUAUUGUUGUUGCUGUUUGCAAAAUGUAUUUUUGGAAUGUUAACCUCUUUUCAUACCUGCAUACUUGAACUUGUCUUUUUGUGUGGGGGCCUUAAAAUUCAUAACAGGAAGCUAGGGCAGUGAAAGGGAGGGAGAGAAGGAAAUUACGCCGAGAGAUGGCUUGCAAAUCUAAGCCCUGAAUGAACAUAUCAUAAAAUGUUGUUGAGACCCAGGAUGUCAGUCAAGAAUGUUCCUAGGCAACCUUAAUUUGCAUGCUAGCGUAAUAUUUUAGUUAUACAAUUUUAUUUUGGUAUUUGCUAAAAAAUAAAAAUUAGUGAUGCCACUGUAGAAAUUGCCCUAUAUAUUAAUAUUUAUACUACCUCUUCUCUAGAGAAGACAACUGUCUUUUAAGAGAAAAACACUUUUCAAGAAGUAGUGAUCAGAUUUAUUAUGCUUGUUGCUAACCUAGCUGCAAAGCUAAGUGCAUAAAUCCUUAAAAUAUACUUUCCCUUUACAUUUUAAACUGUUUCCAGAAUACUCGUCACCCCUCAUUUCUUCCAUGUUGGUGAAGUUUUCUUUGAAUUGGUUCACAGUUUAUCAGGACACAAGGUUAAUUUAAGAAAUCAGUCAUCACAGGGGACAAAACACGCUGCAAGGGAAUUGCCCCUGUAUGCAGUUUGUUUUAAUAUCUAGCUCUAAGCCUAAAAGAGUGGAUCCAGAAACUUGAUAUUUAAGUGCAGCUGGUUUGAAAAUUCAAAUUUUUGUUUAUCCUUAAUGUUUCCUGUGGCCAGUUAGCCAUUUCCUAGAUAAGGUAUGCAUUAUCUUGGACUCCCAUGUCAUUGGAGUAAACUUCAUACAGAUGUUUUAAAUAAAUGGGAAUGUACCCCUUACUUCUUUUAUAUUUCUGCCUUUGUGUUUCAUGACAAUGUUGCAUGUUGUUUUCUUUUUAAUUAUAUAAAAUUCAUCUUUGAAUGACUAUAUGAAUGACACUAUAGCAAAUUCUGUAAUAAAAUUUGUUUUAUUAGUUCCUCAUAUCUUUAAAUAUUGUUAAUACUCUGUUACUAAGUUACUUCCUCCAACUGUGUCUAUAGGGCAGAGAACAGGCCACCUCUUCUACAUGAUAAUUAUGAUCAAACCAGUCAAUACGAUAGUUGUCAGCAGACAGCAAGGAUAACAUUUUUGUUGUUGACUUAAACAGUCAAAUUAGUCAAAAUAGUAAAACUGGGUUAUAUGGACAGAGAGCUACAGCAUUCAAAAAUUACUUUUCAAAGUUUUCUUCUUUUCUUAAAAUGAACUUUCUCAAGUGAAAUACAUCCUCUUCUAGCAACCAUCUUUAUCUUUUUGUGGAUGGUUUAAUCCCAAAUACUUCCUGUAAUUGAGGGACAGUAUGAGGUGACUAGAAAAUAUCUCAUCAGAUCAUGUCGAGCAGAGGCUGUAACUCCCACUUACCACGAGAAACUUCUAAAUAAGGGUGAACAGCAAGAGUGUUGGAGAGUCAUAGUUACAUAGGAAACUUUCCUUUGUUUCUUUUGAUGUAUGUAAAAUACUUGAGGAAAGAUGGUAGAAAAUGUUCCUAACAUCCUCUUUGAAGAUUAUAAGGAGUUAAAACCAGAGCUAUGUGAGAACCCAGAGUGGCUGGCCUCUAGCUUUUCAAUACUUUGUAAGUAUUCUUGGUUACGUUUUGAACACCCAAUUUUCUUGACAAGUGGCUGUCUGUGUUUAUGUAGGGGCCACCCUGGCCCUACUUGCAUGCCAUUUCCACACUUUUAACUGAAGUCAGUGUGAAUUCUGUAUGCAUAAGGAUGUAUCAAAGAUGCAGGACCAUUAAUGCUAUAUUGUUGCAUACUAUUUUUCAUAUGCCUUACAAUAUUUUCUGGGAAGUUAUUAAAAUGGGAGCAUUUUAUUGCCAGAAUAAAUCUAUGUUGUUACUAGUUAUCUGCAUUAGCAGUAGAAAAAUAAAUAAUGUAGCAAAACGUAUAUUGUAUAGUACAAAAUUAUAAAAGAUAUAUAUUUUGCCAAUAAUAUGGAAAUAGAUCGAGGAGAGAGAGGAGAAGCACAUUUGUUAUAGCACAAACUUAUAACGAAAUCCACUGUUAAAUUCGGCAGUCAUAUUUUUAAGAGUAUGUAGAUUUAACUCUAAGUUUUAUCAGAUUUAUUUCAUCUACCAUCUUUUUAACUUGCUGCUUGAUACUUUUCCAGCAAUUUACUUCAUAGCCUUGCAAUCUGUGGAUGUAAUUUAUUUUACUUUAUUCCCUUGCAUAAAAAUUAUUAAAUGUUAUUUUGUGAUGAGACUCAUACUAUAUUUACUGUUCUUAUUUCUGCUCCUUCAGUAACAACUACAAAAAGUAAUGGCAAGUGAGCUCAUUGGGCUCCUCUAAAUUUUGGACAUGUCUGAAAUGCAUUGUAUUUUUCACAGCCUAAAGUCAGGAUGAUAAAUAAAGGUGUCCCAAUAACAACAAAAAAAGUAAAGUAUUUAGGGAUUCUUCGAUUUGUUUUGUACUGAAUACUAUUUUGAAACAUAAGUUUAACGCCAUUAGCUGUUUUUUUUUUUUUUUUUGAAGGGGUGGCGGGAGGGGAAAACAUGAAUUUAUUAACACUAAAAAUAGUGUUAGUUAUUUUUAACACUAAAAAUAGUAAAAAGGCAAGUUGAUGUAAAAAGAUUUUACCUAUUACUCUGAGGGCUGUUGGAAUCCCAAGCUAUUGCUAUAUCUCCAGGUACAAGUGGGAAAAAAAGUAUUGCCUUUGUCAAAUAGUUUUUUCCUUUUUUUGAAUUUUAGUUACUUAUUUUAAUAAUUUACCCCCUUUUAUUUUUCUUAUAUAGGUAAAUGUGUAGCAUUCUACAAGGCAUGCUGGGUAAAAUAUACUAUGCAAAUGUGUACAGUGCUGCAUGUUUUGUUCUCCCUCUGCUUUAGUGGCUUUAAAGAAAAAAAAUGUGUUGUUAUUUUUGUGAACAAAAACAUUUAACAAAGAAAAUGCAGAGUGCAUGCAUAGAGUAUCCUAAUUUCUAUGGAUUUGUUUUAUGGAAUUUAAAUGUGUACAAACCAACUGCAUUAAUUUUUUCUUUUGUAUAAUAAAUGAGAAAA